GGGGCCAUAGCUCAGUUGGGAGAGCGUCUGAAUGGCAUUCAGAAGGUCGUCGAUUCGAUCCCGAUUGGCUCCACCA
rnacentral:tRNA from 1 species